UAGAUGCGAGAGUAGAGCAUAUCAAUAAGCGGAGGAAAAGAAACUAACAAGGAUUCCCUUAGUAACGGCGAGUGAAGCGGGAAGAGCUCAAAUUUGAAAUCUUCAAGGUUCUACCUUGACGAAUUGUAGUUUAAAGAAGUGUUUUCUGUUAGAUGAGUAGCAAAAGUUCCUUGGAAUGGGACAUCAUAGAGGGUGAGAAUCCCGUAUUUGGUUAUUCAUUCUAGCUUUGUGAUACACUUUCAAAGAGUCGGAUUGUUUGGGAAUGCAGUCCAAAAUGGGUGGUAAAUUUCAUCUAAAGCUAAAUAUUGGCGAGAGACCGAUAGCGAACAAGUACCGUGAGGGAAAGAUGAAAAGAACUUUGAAAAGAGAGUUAAACAGUACGUGAAAUUGUCAAAAGGGAAGCGUUUGACACCAGUGUUGUUUUUCCGAAAAUCAAUUACGAAUGGCUUGAUUUUGUGUUGUAUUGACCUUAUCAGCUUUCUUCACUUUUUUCGAGUCUUUCUUAAUGCACUUUUCGGUUAACAAGUCAACAUCAACUUCUUUUGUUGUAAAAGAGUAUUCGGAAGGUGGCUUUCUUUUCGGAGAAAGUGUUUAUAGCCCUAUACUUCUACAAUCGGAGAGAUUGAGGUCUGCAGCGUAGAUCCUUCGGGGUUAGAUACACUUGUGCUAAGUUGUAGCUUUUCAUAGACAACUUGUUGACUAUGUUUAGUCAUGCGGCUUACUCGCUUAUGCUAUUUUACCUACGCUUAGGAUGUUGAGCGCAUGUCUCUCUCU
rnacentral:rRNA from 1 species